GACGAACGCUGGCGGCGUGCCUAAUACAUGCAAGUCGAACGAGAGCACCCGGUGCUGGCACUGGUCAAUCUAGUGGCGAACGGGUGAGUAACACGUGGGUAACCUGCCCAUCAGAGGGGGAGAACAUUCGGAAACGGAUGCUAAAACCGCAUAGGUCUUCGAACCGCAGGGUUUGAAGAGGAAAAGAGUCGCAAGCUUCUGCGGAUGGAUGGACCCGCGGUGCAUUAGCUAGUUGGUGAGGUAACGGCUCACCAAGGCCGUGAUGCAUCGCCGACCUGAGAGGGUGAUGGGCCACAUUGGGACUGAGCCACGCACCCUACUCCUGAGGGAGGCAGCAGUAGCGAAUCUUCCGCAAUGGACGCAAGUCUGACGGAGCAACGCCAAGUGAGUGAAGAAGGUUUUCGGAUCGUAAAACUCUGUUGUUAGAGAAGAACCAGUGCUAGAGUAACUGUUAGCGCCUUGACGGUAUCUAAACAGAAAGCCACGGCUAACUACGUG
rnacentral:rRNA from 1 species